UACGAAGGGGGCUAGCGUUGCUCGGAAUCACUGGGCGUAAAGCGCACGUAGGCGGAUCUUUUAGUCAGGGGUGAAAUCCUGGAGCUCAACUCCAGAACUGCCUUUGAUACUGGGGAUCUCGAGUCCGGGAGAGGUGAGUGGAACUGCGAGUGUAGAGGUGAAAUUCGUAGAUAUUCGCAAGAACACCAGUGGCGAAGGCGGCUCACUGGCCCGGUACUGACGCUGAGACGCGAAAGCGUGGGGAGCAAACAGG
rnacentral:rRNA from 1 species